GACUCAAGCUGCUGUAAUAUCACUGUCUACCAUUGUGACUCUGGCUCUCUUCAUUUAUUUGCCUUCUACUGUGAUAACCAUUUCCCGUUGUAUGUAUAAGUCUUCGGGCACUGGACAUCGUUAAAGGACUCUCUCAUACUAAGAAAUUCUAGCAGUAGCCGGGGUGUCUUUAUAUUGAACAAGAAAUAAGAAUGUUGUGUUCUGGUGGCAUUUCUUAACUCUUCACUGCCAAUGAAA
rnacentral:misc_RNA from 1 species